UGACCGCUGGCGGCGUGCUUAACACAUGCAAAUCGAACGGAAAGGCUCCUGCUUGCAGGGGUACUCGAGUGGCGAACGGGUGAGUAACACGUGGGUGAUCUGCCCUGCACUUCGGGAUAAGCCUGGGAAACUGGGUCUAAUACCGGAUAGGACGAUGGUUUGGAUGCCAUUGUGGAAAGUUUUUCGGUGUGGGAUGAGCUCGCGGCCUAUCAGCUUGUUGGUGGGGUAAUGGCCUACCAAGGCGUCGACGGGUAGCCGGCCUGAGAGGGUGUACGGCCACAUUGGGACUGAGAUACGGCCCAGACUCCUACGGGAGGCAGCAGUGGGGAAUAUUGCACAAUGGGCGCAAGCCUGAUGCAGCGACGCCGCGUGGGGGAUGACGGCCUUCGGGUUGUAAACUCCUUUCGCUAGGGACGAAGCGUUUUGUGACGGUACCUGGAGAAGAAGCACCGGCUAACUACGUG
rnacentral:rRNA from 1 species